rnacentral:rRNA from 1 species
UACGUAGGUGGCAAGCGUUGUCCGGAUUUACUGGGCGUAAAGAGCGCGCAGGCGGUCGGAUCAGUCGAAUGUGAAAGCCCCCGGCUCAACUGGGGAGGGUCAUUCGAUACUGUCCGACUCGAAGGCAGGAGAGGGAAGCGGAAUUCCCGGUGUAGUGGUGAAAUGCGUAGAUAUCGGGAGGAACACCGGUGGCGAAGGCGGCCCCCUGGUUGGAUACUGACGCUGAGACGCGAAAGCGUGGGGAGCAAACAGG